UACGUAGGGUGCGAGCGUUAAUCGGAAUUACUGGGCGUAAAGCGUGCGCAGGCGGUUGUGCAAGACAGAGGUGAAAUCCCCGGGCUUAACCUGGGAAUGGCCUUUGUGACUGCAUAGCUAGAGUGUGUCAGAGGGGGGUAGAAUUCCACGUGUAGCAGUGAAAUGCGUAGAGAUGUGGAGGAAUACCGAUGGCGAAGGCAGCCCCCUGGGAUAACACUGACGCUCAUGCACGAAAGCGUGGGGAGCAAACAGG
rnacentral:rRNA from 1 species